AUUCAAGCCCAAUGGAAUUUUAAAUUCUAAAUAAAUUCCUAAUUAAAUCUCGAUUACCAAGUUAUUUAAAUUUCCAAGAAGCUAAUAUUUCACAACAAUAUUUCCUGAUUUUGCAAGAAUGUGUGAAAAAGGUAUUCCACCAUGCAAUUUUGUGGGUUAGAUCCUUUCAGUAUGUUCUAUUACCAGGUCAGCUUUUUUAAUAGGCAAUUAGAGAUGCUUCAGAUACAGAGUUGUCCUUACCUCAUUUAAGUGGCCUGUCAGUGACAACAUUGGAAGGGUUUUUCAUAAGCGAAAUAGACAAAAUAAACUACAGCACUAGCCAUCUUCGCCCAACCCAAACAUCAUCAUCUCAAGAGAAAGAGCAAAAUCCAAUGAAUUUGAUCAGGGAACAAACAAAAAGGUUGUCAAUU